rnacentral:lncRNA from 1 species
AAAGCAGCCUUUCUUUAGGGCUGUCAUCUGUUCUGGGGAUCUGUUGCUGUUUCUUGGGCCCACAGAAUACACUCCACACCUCGGGACUCUAUAAUAUUGGACAAGGCUGGAAGGCCCAUUUGGCUCCUGCAGCCUCUUAUGCAGGAGGACCUCCUGAGGCUUCGAGCAGGAGCUGGUGCACACCUGGAGGAGAGUGCUGGUGAAUGGCAGUCAUCCUCUUCAGCGGUCCUCCCAGAGCUGUCCUCGGCAUGGCAGCCUCCACAGCCCCUGGGUGUCACCCCCGGUUUCGUGUCUGCCUUGGACUCCAGACCUGCCCCUCCCAGGCUGGCCCAGAUGGAUCCUCUGCAGUGACUAACCCAAACCAGCACCAGGCAGGGACCCAAUAAACCUUCGUGAAUGGA